AACGAGACCUAAGCCUGCUAAAUAGCCCGGCUAGCUUUGGCUGGUCGCUGGCUUCUUAGAGGGACUGUCGGCUCAAGCCGAUGGAAGUUUGAGGCAAUAACAGGUCUGUGAUGCCCUUAGAUGUUCUGGGCCGCACGCGCGCUACACUGACAGAGCCAACGAGUUUUUCUCCUUGACCGAAAGGUCUGGGUAAUCUUGUGAAACUCU
rnacentral:rRNA from 1 species